rnacentral:rRNA from 1 species
AUUGAACGCUGGCGGCAGGCCUAACACAUGCAAGUCGAACGGUAACAGAAAGCAGCUUGCUGCUUUGCUGACGAGUGGCGGACGGGUGAGUAAUGUCUGGGAAACUGCCUGAUGGAGGGGGAUAACUACUGGAAACGGUAGCUAAUACCGCAUAACGUCGCAAGACCAAAGAGGGGGACCUUCGGGCCUCUUGCCAGCGGAUGUGCCCAGAUGGGAUUAGCUAGUAGGUGGGGUAACGGCUCACCUAGGCGACGAUCCCUAGCUGGUCUGAGAGGAUGACCAGCCACACUGGAACUGAGACACGGUCCAGACUCCUACGGGAGGCAGCAGUGGGGAAUAUUGCACAAUGGGCGCAAGCCUGAUGCAGCCAUGCCGCGUGUAUGAAGAAGGCCUUCGGGUUGUAAAGUACUUUCAGCGGGGAGGAAGGGAGUAAAGUUAAUACCUUUGCUCAUUGACGUUACCCGCAGAAGAAGCACCGGCUAACUCCGUG